CAAUAGCGUAUAUUAAAGUUGUUGCGGUUAAAAAGCUCGUAGUUGGAUUUCUGGUAGGAGUGACCGUGCCAGACUUGAUUGUCUGUGUAUUGUGUUGUCUCCAGCCAUCCUUGUGGAGAACUUUUCUUGCAUUAAUUUGUAGGGAUUGGGACCCGCAUCGUUUACUGUGAAAAAAUUAGAGUGGUUAAAGCAGGCAAUCGCUUGAAUACAUUAGCAUGGAAUAAUAAGAUAGGACUUUGGUACUAUUUUGUUGGUUUGCAUACCAAAUUAAUGAUCAACAGGAACAGUUUGAGGAUAUUCGUAUGAACAUGUCAGAGGUGAAAUUCUUGGAUUUUGAUCAGACGAACUACUGCGAAAGCAUUUAUCAAGGAUGUUUUCAUUAA
rnacentral:rRNA from 1 species